GACGAACCGAGCGAACGUUGUUCGGAAUCACUGGGCUUAAAGGGCGCGUAGGCGGGCUGUCAAGUCUGGGGUGAAAUCCCGCGGCUCAACCGUGGAACUGCCUCAGAUACUGACGGUCUCGAGGGGGGUAGGGGCGAGCGGAACUAAUGGUGGAGCGGUGAAAUGCGUUGAUAUCAUUAGGAACUCCGGUGGCGAAGGCGGCUCGCUGGACCUUUUCUGACGCUGAGGAGCGAAAGCGUGGGGAGCAAACAGG
rnacentral:rRNA from 1 species